rnacentral:lncRNA from 1 species
CGGCAAAGGAAAGAUUAUGCAGUGAGGUUUGGGAGGGGCUGCGGCAUGGGGAAGUAGAUUAGAACCAUAAGACUGAAGCUAGCAAGACAGCGAUCUGUGCGUAAUAGACUAUGACCAGAGGGCUUUAACGGCAAAGAGAAAACAGAGCGGCUCUAGCGCAGCGAUUGUGGAUGAUGCAGUUUUCCCUGACUGAAAACCUAAGGGCUCCUUGUUCGUUGAGAAGAAUUUAUGGUCAGCAAUCUCACAAUGAUAUUAAAAGAUCUGUGUCAAGACUUGUGUUUCAGAAAUUCUUCCAUGUCAUGCAACAUGCCUGGCGAGUCCCUUGAAACUCAAGAUCCACUCCCCCUCCAUUUUCCUGCAGAAAGGAACGGGUAUUCAACAGAGAACAACCAAGGAAGACAAAACAAAAUAGACUAAGACAAAGCAAAAGCCCUCAUAUUGAGGCUAGGCAAGGCAAGGCAACCAAAUAGCAGGCAAGAGUCAGAGAGGCACCUGUUUCCAUUGUUAGAAGUCCAACAAAAACACCACACUUAACAUAUGAGCAUAGGACCUGGUGCAGACCCUUGCAGGUCCCAUGCUUGCCACAGUUCCUGUGAGCCUAUUGAACCCUGCUUAGAUGAUUCAGUGUGGGUAGGCCAUGCUCCCCUGCUGUCCUCCACCCUGUCUAACUACUAUAAUCUUUCCUUUCCCUUUUCUGUGGUCCCCAAGCUUCAGGGGAAGGAACUUGAUGGAGAGCUCCAAUUUAGACAUUCUCUGCAUAAUGUCUAGCUGUGGAUUCUGCACCCACUCUGGCGUGCUGCCAAGAGGAGUGGAAGCCUUUCUGAUGAUGACUGGACAAAGAUUAAUCUAUGAGUGUAUCAGAACAUCAACUGGAAUAAUUUCUUUGUGGUUUUGUUUUGUUUUGUUUUAUAUGGCUGGUCCGAUUUGAUUCUACCCUAGGUCUCUGGGCCAUCCAGUGUCUAGUUCCUGGGCAUCCUGGCAGUACAGGGAAGGAGUUUCCACUCAUGGAAUGUGCCUCUAGUUAAACCAGACUUUGGGUGACCGCUUCUGUACAUUCUGUGCCACCAUCGUCCUAGCAUAUUUUGCAGACAGGACAGAUCGUAGGUCAUAGGUUUUCGGGCUGGGUUGAUGUCCAUGUUUCUCUUUCCAAAACCUGCAAUGUAUCUUCCUAGACCAAUAGGACUAGAAUGUAGAGGUGAAAGCGACUUGGAGGCACCAGCUUGACCUCUCUAUUUUCAAUGAACUAUGUGAAUGUUGUAUUCAGCAAUUCGGUCCCUGCUAUCAGUUUGCAGAGAGCAAUUGUCUUAGUCAGGGUUUCUAUUCCUGCACAAACAUCAUGA